rnacentral:lncRNA from 1 species
GAGUGGUUGUGAUAGAUAGAGGAGGGAGCAAAUAUUUAAUUAGCACCUGCUAUGUGCCAAGUCCUGUGCCCAGCUCUUUACACACAUUCUUCCAAGGGUGAGACAUGAUGGUGUUUGCUGAAGGGAACAUAGGGAUCUUUAAGUCCAGUGAUUUUUAACCAGCUAAAGAAUUGAAUAUAUAUAUAUAAUAUAUGUACAUAUAAUAUACAUACACACACAUGCCCAGCCCUUACUCCAGUCUAGAAUCAAAAUCUCUGAGAAGUAGACCUGGUCAAGAGUACUUAGAGAAAAUUCCCUCAGUGUUUCCAUUGUACAUUGCUGGUGAAAAACCAAUGGUCUAGGCCAGCAUCCUAUUGUACAGAUGAGAAAGGUGAGGCCCAAAGAGGUCAAUGAGCAUCCCAAGGUCACAUAAAUUUAAUAGCAAGGCCAGACCUAGAUUUUGUACUAUCUGCCUGAGGACACACUUCACAUUACCUGAGCUGCUUCUGACCUGCAGUGUUGGGGUGGAAGUAGAAGUGGGUGAAGAGGUUGAACUCUUGUCCUCGGAUCUCUGAGCUUGAUUGGGCAGCUGGGAGUGUAGAAAACAGGCACCACGUCCUGGAGUAUCCUUUCCAUUCCCCCUCCACCUUUGCCCACCUUCCUUAUGUCCUCUUUGGGGCUAUGAUUGAAGAGGCUUGAGACAUUGAAGAGCAUCAAUAUCUACUGCUCUAAGUGACCCAGGCAGCUGCUGUGACAUCUGGUGUCUUCCUUUAUCUUUGUAGAGUCAUGGGCAGCACCUGUAAAGGCAGGUGUGAAAGAAGCUUUGUUCUGAUUCUUUUUUCACUGUCCCCUCUGUAUCAGACACUGUCAUGGGAGCCCCCGGUCAACUUCUUGCUUCCAGUUGUGCCCAGCCAGCAGCAAACAGAAUGAGACAUCAGCUGAAGCUUUUCAAAGACAUCCUGUGGAAGGGCAUACAGACUUCAUGUAGUGGCCAAGGGUGUGAUUAGCACUGAUUACGUGGCAAAGCGGAAUAGAACUAAUGACCAUGAUAGCUGCCAUUUACCCAGUGCUCACUGUGCCAGGCACUCUGCUUGAAUCAUUUCCCGUAAUCCUGUAACAGCCAUGGGAGGGGGUGGGAGUGGGAGGGGGUGUGCUGGGGAGGUUUUAUGGCCUCCCAUAAGUGGCAAGCUGGGAUGUGAACCCAGUUCUGCUUGAUUUUAAAGUCCAUGACCUUA